rnacentral:rRNA from 1 species
CGUUCUGUAAGCCUGCGAAGGUGUGCUGUGAGGCAUGCUGGAGGUAUCAGAAGUGCGAAUGCUGACAUAAGUAACGAUAAAGCGGGUGAAAAGCCCGCUCGCCGGAAGACCAAGGGUUCCUGUCCAACGUUAAUCGGGGCAGGGUGAGUCGACCCCUAAGGCGAGGCCGAAAGGCGUAGUCGAUGGGAAACAGGUUAAUAUUCCUGUACUUGGUGUUACUGCGAAGGGGGGACGGAGAAGGCUAUGUUGGCCGGGCGACGGUUGUCCCGGUUUAAGCGUGUAGGCUGGUUUUCCAGGCAAAUCCGGAAAAUCAAGGCUGAGGCGUGAUGACGAGGCACUACGGUGCUGAAGCAACAAAUGCCCUGCUUCCAGGAAAAGCCUCUAAGCAUCAGGUAACAUCAAAUCGUACCCCAAACCGACACAGGUGGUCAGGUAGAGAAUACCAAGGCGCUUGAGAGAACUCGGGUGAAGGAACUAGGCAAAAUGGUGCCGUAACUUCGGGAGAAGGCACGCUGAUAUGUAGGUGAAGUCCCUCGCGGAUGGAGCUGAAAUCAGUCGAAGAUACCAGCUGGCUGCAACUGUUUAUUAAAAACACAGCACUGUGCAAACACGAAAGUGGACGUAUACGGUGUGACGCCUGCCCGGUGCCGGAAGGUUAAUUGAUGGGGUCAGCGCAAGCGAAGCUCUUGAUCGA